GCCCGGCUAGCUCAAUCGGUAGAGCGUGAGACUCUUAAGUCUGGUGCAAAAUAGCAGAAUUCGUGAUCUCAAGGUUGCGGGUUCGACCCCCGCGUUGGGCU
rfam:Glarea lozoyensis ATCC 20868 chromosome Tnknown GLAREA13, whole genome shotgun sequence.